GUUGAGGUCUAUCCCGAUGGAGCUUUUUCUGUAAACCUACAGCAUUGGAAACGCCUCAUAGAGUUAACUAUGUGGUUUCCUUUACUCAUAGAACUACCUGUUAUACCUGUGGGAAAGAACUAACUAUAAGACAGAG
rnacentral:snoRNA from 1 species